GGGGGGGGGGGGGGGGGGGGGGGGGGGGGGGGGCGCGGCCUGGGGCUGCGCGGCCUGGGGCUGCGCCGGCCGCCUGUGCCCCAGACGUGACCCGGGUGCGCCUCCCGCCGUGCGCCUGCAGAGAGCCACCCGGCCGACCGCGAGUGGCCUGAGCCGGGAGGGACCCGCAGGGACCGUCGAGCCAGACGUGACCCGGGUGCGCCUCCCGCCGUGCGCCUGCAGAGAGCCACCCGGCCGACCGCGAGUGGCCUGAGACGGGAGGGACCCGCAGGGACCGUCGAGUCCAACUCCCAGCCCUGCACGGGACAACCCCGGAGUCACGCCUCAGGACGUAGUCUAAACGCUUCUUGAACUCUGUCAGGUUUGGUGCUGAAGAAGGCCAAGAGUGUAGUGCAGAUGCCAGAAGGCCGACUAGCACUUCACCAGCAGGGAAAGUAUUUGUAAAUAAUACCAACAAACAACUGCAUUUUGUAUGAAAUCGCCUUCUCUUUUCAAGAGGGGCAGCGUUACUGGAAGAAAGGAGUACUUCCUUCAAAACUUAAAGGAUUCCCUGAAAGCAUGCUGAUCUAUGCAAUAAGGACAUGAAAAGGUGGGGAAGCCUCCAGAAGUCCCUGUGGAACAAAAGCAGUAGCUACAGAUUCUGAGCCUCUCUUGACGGGCUGUCCUGCGUGCCCCUGGCAGGCUGAGAGACAGUGCUUGAGGGAGCAGUAAUGGAAAACCUGCAAGUAACCAAGACUUGCUCAGCAAUUGACAGACCAUCGGUGUCACCUUUUCAGCUGUUAGCAUUAGAUGCCAGGAUGUCUAGGAGAAAAGUACUGUGUCAGACUCAUUGGGGUCAGGCUUCCUGGAGACCAUGCAGUGAAGGGAACCAAAUUGCACCAGAAGAAUGUAUAGAAGACUUACCUGCAGAACUUCACAGCUAUUUCAAUAGGUACCUCCCAGCAUAGAAAUACCAAAAUAUAGUAAUUCUAUGUAUGUACUGAGUAGAAUGUGAUCAACUCCGUUGCAUCUGUCAUGUGUGUUCAUGGAAACCAUGUGGUGUUGAGGUGAACAAACUCUGCUCAUCAUCUUUGAACCUGUUGGAUGGAGACAUCCAUUUAAGAGUAGCAAUAUGUUCACAGAGUAACUGUCCUUUGUGCCUUAAUAUUUUUCUUCUGGGGAGAUUGAAGAAAAUGCCUUCUAAACCACACUUGGGAGCAAAUAUUCGUGUAAG
rnacentral:lncRNA from 12 species